AGUUUAAAACCAAGACACUGGCAAGCAGAUGAGAAUCCUUCCUCAGCCCAGAAGCUGUCCCCCAUUCCCGUGUCCCCUAGUUGUGUCACUGCUGCAGUUCACAGGGGUGAAGCACUUGCUACUUUUGCCCAUCAUCAAACCCCACAGGGGAAAGAACUACUACCCAUUUUCUUCAUCCCAGCUCCACAAGCUGAUCCAGGUGCAGAAAGCCAUGAGCUUGUGGGGAACCAUGUAGCUGGAAUGAACUUGGCCCUGGGGACAUGCCCUGUAUGACACUGACUUGAUGACAUCUAGUGGGAAGUCCUGAAGGUUCUUCUGCCAGAUGCCACACACCACAUCCCAACUGCCCUGCUUUCUCUGCCACUCCUCAAGGCUCAGGCUCUGAAGUAAGGCUGUCAGCUCCCAGACAAAGUCAGACUGUGGCUGAGAUUACUGGAAGUGGCUGUGAUGCCCAUCAGCAGAUGAUAGAGAUGGGCUUCCUGGAACUGCCACUAACCUCCUGCAGACCAGGCUCCAUGUCCCAGCAGGUCCCAGCCCAGGCCCAACCUACAGCCAUAACCAUGGAAGGCAGGUGGCCUCAGGUGCUGACAGCUGCUUUGGUCUCCAUGGAAGCAGAAGCCCUGCUGGAAGUACCUGCAGACCUGGGGCACCUUUCUGUCAUAAGCAUGGCAACUUGACCCCCAGUGAUCAUCCUUGAAUGGCAGCUGGGAACGGGGCUUGUUCUCCCUACCGUGACUGUAGUCAUCCUUCCCUGCAGCGUCCAUCCCAGCUGCAGGUCCUGUGAGCCUCCAUUCAUUUUCAAACACCUAUUGAUCAGUUUGCAUUUUAUGUGAUUUUAUAUAUAUAGAAACAUAGAGCAUGUUCUCUGUUUUGGUUUGGCUUUGCUGUAUGGUUUGGAUGUGGCUUGUCCCCAAGAGUUCAUAUAUUGGAGGCUUUGGUCCUUAGUAUGGCAGUGGUGAAACAGUGGGACUUUGUAGAGGUAGGUCCUUGUGGAAUGUCUUUAGGUUAUUGGGGCUUUGCCUCAAGAGGGAUUAAAGUAGUUUUCCUGAGACCUGAGUUAGUUUAAUCAGAGCAAAUCACUCUAAGAGAGACCAACCUGGAAUCUCUCUCUGGCUUCCUAUGUCUCUCCAUGUGAUCUUGCCCUCUCAUAUUGCAGUCUCAGCAUUGUGAUGCCCUCUGCCACAAGUUCCUCACCAGAACCAAGCCAAUGCAGGUGCCAGACCCUUGAACCUUCAAAAUUGUGUUAAAUAAACCUCUUUUCUUUAUGAAGUUA